rnacentral:lncRNA from 1 species
UCAAACCAAACACUGUUUAGGUACAUGUUUCCUUUACACUGUAGAACCAAACAAAAUGGGGUUUGCCCAGUCCGGUGCUGUUACAGUCCGUAAUCAGGUUCCAUUUACGUUUACGUUACCACUGAACGAAACAAACACCUCCAUAAUGUCACUAAAUAACUGUCAACUGUUCCUAGUUACAAUUCUGCUGCUACAAAUUAAUUUUUAACUAGCUACGUACCUCAUUAGUCGCCAUCAAAAGAGAUUGCCGCGCACGUUACGUUCUUCACAUAUUUAUAAUCUUUCUCAGGAAUUGUGUGUCCUUUAACUGCUAUGGACCUACAUAAUUAUUUUGUUAAUUGAUAAUACAUAAGUGUUGCCGCUCGCUGUCCAGCCAACAAAUCUGACUUGUUCAAACAUUUCGGCAUCUCUGUCGCAUUAUGCUCCACAUGAUUAGCGUCAACAGCAGUAACCAGCUGACACAUCCGCAAAGCAAAUGGAGGCUUCUGUAGGAUCCUUCUGUAUAUAAUAAAAUUAUGAGCCAAAGAAAAUAGGUCCUUCAACUAUUUCACUACUAGCUUUUUUUUAGAAAAAAAAGAUAACCCCCAGCCUCUGCAUGAGAAUGAUGCAUGCAUCCAUUACUUCACUACUAGCUGCCGCUAGAAAGCUAAUCCAUGCAUGAUUAGCAUACACUGCUAACAUUUUGAGUAUUCACAACUCAACAAUGUAUUUUCUUAAUGCGGCUAGUGCAGUACAAGGACAGAUAACUGGGAUUAUAUAACGCUCUCGAUGCGGCUAUAUCUCCCACAUGUCGAAGCACGAUUUAGAGGCAUAACCGCAUUGAAAGCAAUGUCGCAAGUGAGGUAAUCUUCACACAACCCAAGUAAUACAUAAGGGGAAAGAGAUACAUAGUUGGCUUACAAUCGCCACUUCACACAAUUACAUGAAUAAAGCAUUACAUCAUCCAGAUACAAUCAAGGUCCGACUACGGAACCCAAAAUAAAAGAAGAACCCCAAAUGCGACAAAGGUCCCCGAUCGACCCCAACUGGGCUCCACUACUGAUCAACUAGAACGAAACAACACAAAGGGCAAGAUCUUCAUCGAGCUCCUCCUUGAGCUUGGUUGCGUCACCUGCUCGGUAACAUAGGCACCUGCAAACUGGUUUGGAAGUAUCUGGUGAGCCACGAGGACUCAGCAAUCUCGCACCCGCGAGAUCAAGACUAUUUAAGCUUAUGGGUAAGGUAAAGGCAUGAGGUGGAGCUGCAGCAAGCGACUAGCAUAUAUGGUGGCUAACAUACGCAAAUGAGAGCGAGAAGAGAAGGCAAAGCACGGUCGAUAAAGGUAUGAUCAAGAAGUGAUCCUAUAGCAACCUAUGUCAAGCAUAACUCCAACACCGUGUUCACUUCCCGGACUCCGCCGGAAAGAGACCAUCACGGUUACACACACGGUUGAUGUAUUUAAUUCGGAUCUGGUGUCAAGUUAUCUACAAUCGGACAUUAACAAAUUCCCAUCUGCCACAUAACCGCGGGCACGGCUCUCGAAAGUUUAUACCCUGCAGGGGUGUCCCAACUUAGCCCAUGACAAGCUCUCGCGAUCAUCGAAGGAAUAGACCUUCACCCGAGACACUCCGAUCAGACUCGGUAUCCCGGUACAUCAAGACAUUUCGACAAUGGUAAAACAAGACCAGCAAGACCUCCCGGCGUGCCGACAUCCUGAUAGUAGCCGCGCGUAUCUCGUCUCAGGCCACGACCGGAUGAACACUACGUACGGCAACCGACGAUACCCCAAGUUGCCUAGGGGCGGCACCACAAGUGGCUCUGGUUUGGACCAACACUUAGACAAGCAUUGGCCCGGGGGGGCUAAAAUAAAGAUGACCCUUGGGUUAAUUACUCCCAAGGGAAAAGUAGGUGGUGGUGAGGCAAAUGGUAAAAGUCAAUGUUGGGCCUUGCUGGACAAGUUUUAUUCAAAGCGAACUGUCAGGGGGGUCCCAUAAAUCACCCGACCGCGUAAGGAACGCAAAAUCCGAGAACAUAACACCGGUAUGACGGAAACUAGGGCGGCAAGAGUGGAACAAAACACCAGGCAUAAGGCCGAGCCUUCCACCCUUUACCAAGUAUAUAGAUGCAUUAAUAAUAUAAGAGAUAUUGUGAUAUCCCAACCAAAAUCCUGUCCACCAUGGAGAAAUCUUCAACUUCACCUGCAACUAGCAACACUAUAAGAGGGGCUGAGCAAAGUGGUAACAUAGCCAAACAACGGUUUGCUAGGAAUGGUGUCAAAGGUUAGAGGUUCAUGGCAAUAUGGGAUGGCUGACAAGCAAAUGAUAGGCAUCGUAGCAUUGGCAUAGCAAAAGAGCGAGCAAACUAGCAUAGCAAAGAUAGUAGUGAUUUCGAGGGUAUGGUCAUCUUGCCUGAAAUCCCGCAAGGAAGAAGAACGAGUCCAUGAAGAAGACAAAC